CCCUUAGAUGUCCGGGGCUGCACGCGCGCUACACUGAAGGAAUCAGCGUGCUAAAACCAUUGUCGAAAGGCAUUGGUAAACCCAUUAAAAUCCUACGUGAUUGGGAUCGGGAAUUGCAAUUAUUUCCCUUGAACGAGGAAUUCCCAGCAAGUGUGGGUCAUAAGCUCGCGUUGAUUACGUCCCUGCCCUUUGUACACACCGCCCGUCGCUGCCCGGGACUGAGCCGUUUCGAGAAAAGCGGGGACUGCUGCUGUCGGGGCUUUCGGGCCUUGGCUUCGGUGGAAACCGCUUUAAUCGCAGUGGCUUGAACCGGGCAAAANUCGUAACA
rnacentral:rRNA from 1 species